rnacentral:misc_RNA from 1 species
GAUGGAAGAACGUAGCGAAAUGCGAUAAGUAAUGUGAAUUGCAGAAUUCAGUGAAUCAUCGAAUCUUUGAACGCACAUUGCGCCCGCCAGUAUUCUGGCGGGCAUGCCUGUUCGAGCGUCAUUUCAACCAUCAAGCCCCGGGCUUGUGUUGGGGACCUGCGGCUGCCGCAGGCCCUGAAAUGCAGUGGCGGGCUCGCUGUCACUCCGAGCGUAGUAGUUACAUCUCGCUCUGGGCGUGCUGCGGGUUCCGGCCGUUAAAAGCCUUAUUUACCCAAGGUUGACCUCGGAUCAGGUAGGAAGACCCGCUGAACUUAAGCAUAUCAAUAAGCGGAGGA